rnacentral:rRNA from 1 species
UACGAAGGGGGCUAGCGUUACUCGGAUUGACUGGGCGUAAAGGGCGCGUAGGCGGUUUGUACAGUCAGACGUGAAAUUCCUGGGCUCAACCUGGGGGCUGCGUUUGAUACGUGCAGACUUGAGUUCGGAAGAGGGUCGUGGAAUUCCCAGUGUAGAGGUGAAAUUCGUAGAUAUUGGGAAGAACACCGGUGGCGAAGGCGGCGACCUGGUCCGAUACUGACGCUGAGGCGCGAAAGCUAGGGGAGCAAACGGG